rnacentral:rRNA from 1 species
UUGUCCUACGGGGGGCAGCAGUGGGGGAUAUUGCACAAUGGGGGGAACCCUGAUGCAGCGACGCCGCGUGGGUGAAGAAGCGCCUCGGCGCGUAAAGCCCUGUCAGCAGGGAAGAAAAUGACGGUACCUGAAGAAGAAGCCCCGGCUAACUACGUGCCAGCAGCCGCGGUAAUACGUAGGGGGCUAGCGUUAUCCGGAAUUACUGGGCGUAAAGGGUGCGUAGGUGGUUUCUUAAGUCAGAGGUGAAAGGCUACGGCUCAACCGUAGUAAGCCUUUGAAACUGGGGAACUUGAGUGCAGGAGAGG